UNCAMGCUCCAAUAGCGUAUAUUANAGUUGUUGUGGUUAAVAAGCUCGUAGUUGAACCUUGGGCCUGGCUGGCCGGUCCCCCUCACCGGGCGCACUGAUCCAGCCGGGCCUUUCCCUCUACGGAACCCCAUGGCCUUCACUGGUCGUGGCGGGGAAGUAGGACUUUUACUUUGAAAAAAUUAGAGUGCUCCAGGCAGGCCUAUGCKSGAAUACAUUAGCAUGGAAUAAUGGAAUAGGACGCGCGGUUCUAUUUUGUUGGUUUCUAGGACCGCCGUAAUGAUUAAUAGGGACAGUCGGGGGCAUCAGUAUUCAAUUGUCAGAGGUGAAAUUCUUGGAUCUAUUGAAGACUAACUACUGCGAAAGCAUUUGCCAAGGAUGUUUUCAUUGAUAAGGAACGAAAGUUAGGGGAUCGAAAACGAUCAGAUACCGUUGUAGUCUUAACUAUAAACUAUGCCGACUAGGGAUCGGACGAUGUUAUUUAUUGACUCGUUCGGCACCUUUCGAGAAAUCAAAGUGCUUGGGCUCCAGGGGGAGUAUG
rnacentral:rRNA from 1 species